GCUGGCGUGGCUCAGUUGGCAGAGCGGGUGACUCGUAAUCACCAGGUCGGGGGUUCAAGUCCCCCCGCCAGCACCA
rnacentral:tRNA from 1 species